AUACGUAGGUGGCAAGCGUUGUCCGGAUUUAUUGGGCGUAAAGCGAGCGCAGGCGGUCUUUUAAGUCUGAUGUGAAAGCCCCCGGCUUAACCGGGGAGGGUCAUUGGAAACUGGGAGACUUGAGUGCAGAAGAGGAAAGCGGAAUUCCAUGUGUAGCGGUGAAAUGCGUAGAUAUAUGGAGGAACACCAGUGGCGAAGGCGGCUUUCUGGUCUGUAACUGACGCUGAGGCGCGAAAGCGUGGGUAGCGAACAGGAUUAGAUACCCUGGUAGUCCACGCCGUAAACGAUGAGUGCUAAGUGUUAGGGGGUUUCCGCCCCUUAGUGCUGCAGCAAACGCAUUAAGCACUCCGCCUGGGGAGUACGGCCGCAAGGCUGAA
rnacentral:rRNA from 1 species